rnacentral:misc_RNA from 1 species
CAACCCUCAAGCUCAGCUUGGUGUUGGGCCCCGCCGCCCCGGCGGGCCCUAAAGUCAGUGGCGGUGCCGUCCGGCUCCGAGCGUAGUAAUUCUUCUCGCUCUGGAGGUCCGGUCGUGUGCUUGCCAUCAACCCCCAAAUUUUUUCA